rnacentral:rRNA from 1 species
GACGAACGCUGGCGGCGUGCUUAACACAUGCAAGUCGAGCGGAAAGGCCCCUUCGGGGGUACUCGAGCGGCGAACGGGUGAGUAACACGUGAGCAACCUGCCCUCAGCUCUGGGAUAACCCCGGGAAACCGGGGCUAAUACCGGACAUGACUCGGUCAGGCAUCUGAUCGAGUGGAAAGCUUUUGCGGCUGAGGAUGGGCUCGCGGCCUAUCAGCUUGUUGGUGGGGUAACGGCCUACCAAGGCGACGACGGGUAGCCGGCCUGAGAGGGCGACCGGCCACACUGGGACUGAGACACGGCCCAGACUCCUACGGGAGGCAGCAGUGGGGAAUAUUGCACAAUGGGCGAAAGCCUGAUGCAGCGACGCCGCGUGAGGGAUGAAGGCCUUCGGGUUGUGAACCUCUUUCAGCAGGGACGAAGCGCAAGUGACGGUACCUGCAGAAGAAGCUCCGGCUAACUACGUGCCAGCAGCCGCGGUAAGACGUAGGGGGCUAGCGUUGUCCGGAUUUAUUGGGCGUAAAGAGCUCGUAGGCGGCCUGUUGCGUCGAUUGUGAAAACCCGAAGCUCAACUUCGGGCCUGCAGUCGAUACGGGCAGGCUAGAGGCAGGUAGGGGAGAGUGGAAUUCCUGGUGUAGCGGUGGAAUGCGCAGAUAUCAGGAGGAACACCGGUGGCGAAGGCGGCUCUCUGGGCCUGACCUGACGCUGAGGAGCGAAAGCGUGGGGAGCGAACAGGAUUAGAUACCCUGGUAGUCCAUGCCGUAAACGUUGGGCGCUAGGUGUGGGACUCAUUCCACGAGUUCCGUGCCGCAGCUAACGCAUUAAGCGCCCCGCCUGGGGAGUACGGCCGCAAGGCUAAAACUCAAAGGAAUUGACGGGGGCCCGCACAAGCGGCGGAGCAUGCGGAUUAAUUCGAUGCAACGCGAAGAACCUUACCAAGGCUUGACAUAUACCGGAAACAUCCAGAGAUGGGUGCCCCUUUUGGUCGGUAUACAGGUGGUGCAUGGUUGUCGUCAGCUCGUGUCGUGAGAUGUUGGGUUAAGUCCCGCAACGAGCGCAACCCUCGUCCUAUGUUGCCAGCACGUCAUGGUGGGGACUCAUAGGAGACUGCCGGGGUCAACUCGGAGGAAGGUGGGGAUGACGUCAAAUCAUCAUGCCCCUUAUGUCUUGGGCUUCACGCAUGCUACAAUGGCCGGUACAAAGGGCUGCGAUACCGCAAGGUGGAGCGAAUCCCAAAAAACCGGUCUCAGUUCGGAUUGGGGUCUGCAACUCGACCCCAUGAAGUCGGAGUCGCUAGUAAUCGCAGAUCAGCAACGCUGCGGUGAAUACGUUCCCGGGCCUUGUACACACCGCCCGUCAAGUCACGAAAGUCGGUAACACCCGAAGCCGGUGGCCCAACCCUUGUGGGGGGAGCCGUCGAAGGUGGGACUGGUGAUUGGGACUAAGUCGUAACAAGGUAACC